GCUGGGAUUAUAGAUGUAUGCCACUAUGCCAAGCCCAUUACAUUUCUGGUAGUUGCUUUCACUGCUGAUUUGUAGUACUUGAAGUUCUUACUAUUUAAAACAAGU